rnacentral:rRNA from 1 species
UACGGGGGGGGCAAGCGUUGUUCGGAAUUACUGGGCGUAAAGGGCUCGUAGGCGGCCAACUAAGUCGGAUGUGAAAUCCCCAAGCUUAACUUGGGAACUGCAUCCGAUACUGGAUGGCUUGAAUCCGGGAGAGGGAUGCAGAAUUCCAGGUAUAGCGGUGAAAUGCGUAGAUAUCUGGAGGAAUACCGGUGGCGAAGGCGGCAUCCUGGACCGGCAUUGACGCUGAGGAGCGAAAGCUAGGGGAGCAAACGGG